rnacentral:misc_RNA from 1 species
GUCGGGCUUCAAAAGCAUGACCUAAUAAGGGAACUUGUUCCUGGGUUAUGGGAAGAGAUUCUCCAUUUGCAACACGGAUUUGCCACUCAACAAGAUCUUGACCCACUAUCAUCUCGGUAACAGGAUGUUCAACCUGAAGGCGAGUAUUCAUCUCCAUGAAAUAAAAUUGACCGGAGAUGGUAUCAACUAUGAACUCCACUGUCCCAGCACUGUAAUAACCAACUGCCUUUAUGCACCAA